AGAAAGACAAACCAUCGGUUUCCGUUGCCAAUUUUAACUGUCCGUCUUAUAUGAAAUUUUUUUAUAAUUCGUAUUUUCAUCGUUGUUAGAUAAUAAAAUAUGAUUAAUAUUUUAUUCAUGACUUGUCUUUUUAUUUUUUUUUCAUAAUUUUUUCAAAUAAGACGAACGGUUAAACGUUGGGCACGGAAACCAGAGUUUGUCUUUUUU
rfam:Oryza sativa (indica cultivar-group) chromosome 4, whole genome shotgun sequence.